rnacentral:rRNA from 1 species
CGUGAGGAAACCUGCCUUCCAGAGGGGGACAACAGUUGGAAACGACUGCUAAUACCGCAUGAUGCGUUGGAGCCGCAUGACUCUGACGCCAAAGAUUUAUCGCUGGAAGAUGGCCUCGCGUCUGAUUAGCUAGUUGGUGAGGUAACGGCCCACCAAGGCGACGAUCAGUAGCCGGACUGAGAGGUUGGCCGGCCACAUUGGGACUGAGAUACGGCCCAGACUCCUACGGGAGGCAGCAG